CCGGGGGAAAACCUAUCCCAUGUCUCCACCCUGGCCUUCUCCAGAGCCCAACAGUUCCUCGAAGAGCUGCUAACUAGGUCCUGUCCACCAUCCCUCAGAGCUGAUGCCAGCAAGGUGUUCUGUACCUCUGGAGGCACACCUCCUUAUAAGCACCGGGGUGACACGCCGCAGGACCAAGUCAUAAAGGCCAUUGCUUCGAUCGUGGGGACCUGGCUGGACCAUGUCCAGGAUUUGGGGCAGCCCCUGCCUUUCCCCUUGGUGGAGGCAGAGCAGGCCUUGGUGCCCAUCAACUCCCCUGCAUCACGCCUGGUGGGCCACGCCCAAAAUCUAGAGCUGGAGCAUCUUGAGCCCACCGAGGCAACCCGGGAAGGUCCACACCCGGAGAUCCAGAGCUCUCCAGAGCCAGAGGAAGGGCCUGCUCAGGGGCCAGAGCCUGGUCCAGGGAGAGGCCCCGCCCUGGCCUGGCCUGGCCUGAGGCAGUACCUCAAGCCAUUCUGGAGCCAGCUGCUGGCGGUGCUGGAAGCCUUCUCUGGGGCCGUCAUAAGCGUCCUAGGCGAUUAUCUUAAAUAACUAAUAAGAGGAAUAUGCCCACUUGUUAGUAUAUGUAUAAUAGUAAAUAAUGAUAAUUUCCAAUAAUA